GUUGGUAAGUAGCGGCAGAGAGGCCACGGUCAACCGCAAGCUCCUCUCCUCCAAGAGAAACAAAUGGUUUCAAGGGGUCUGGGUCAGGCCGGAAUGAGAUGUGCUGAGCUGAGCUGGAUGAAAAUGUGCUGAGCAGAUCCGCCAGCUGGCCAUGCGGACCAUCGGGGGAAGGGCCUGGCAGGAAGCACUAGCCAGCACAGGGCAGGCACCCUCCCAGCUUCUUCUCUGCCUUUUACUCUAAGUGGGUCCCUCUGGACACCAUUCCCAGCAGCUGGCUAGUCCUUUCCCCUUUCUGUGACAUCCAGAGCCCUCUGUCUCCUCUGACUAUGGGCAUUUCUCUUUCUCUGUCCCUUCACCACCUGUGCCCUCUCCAAGUUCAUCGUCGGACUCCUUUCUGGGACUUGGCUUGGAACAACGCUGCCUCGCUGUCACUUCCUAUCAGACCGAUUGGCUCUUGACUUCUCAGAGAUGCCUGAAUUCUGGGAGAGGAGCAGAGCCCUGCCUCAAGGGUGAGAACUACUGCUUUUAAGAAGCCCUCAGAACUCUCCUGGACCAGAAACACAGAAGCCAAUCAGUGGAUGAGGAGAGGAAGAAACCUCUAAGACAUCAUUCAGAGACUCUUGAAGACUUCCUUCUGUAUGCCAACACUCUGAAGAGCAUCAUUCACCACUGUCACUCCCACCCAAAAGAAACAAUUCCCAGUAUCUAUCUCUUUCAAAGCAAGAGAGAGAAGCCAGUAAGCUUCGCCGCACCCAAAGCCACACCUUGUGGCAAUGAAGCAAGCAGAUCUUAGAAGUGGUCACUGUCCUUGGAGUAAGAGACCUAUCUCCAGGACCUAUUCAUGUCUUCCAGGUAACAUAUACAUAUGUGUAUACACUCAUAAACUUGCACAUACCAACACACACACACACACAUACAUUCACACACACACACAAACAUAUACAUUCACACACACACAAACAAACAUAUACAUUCACACACACACAAACACAUACAUUCACACACACACACAAACACAUACAUUCACACACACACACACACACACACACACACACACACACAUUUACACACACCAGCAACAGCAGCAGCGGCAGCAGCAGCCCAUACGCCCCAAAUGAAAAGAGCCCAUGCAAGAGAGGAGGAAAUGCCCUUUAUGUCUACAGGCUGCCUGCAGCAAAAGCAUGCCUAAAUGCAAUAGGUUAAAUAUAUUGCUGCCAUUACACUCUGCAAGAAACACAUUCCAUAAAAAGGAAGGUGCUGUAAAUUAUACAAAUAUGAUGCUAACAAGCCAGGAAACGCUCCGCUAAUGAGGUCAGCUACAGAACUCCUGCAGCGCUGCAAAUCAUCUGCCAAUCCUGCACAUGAGGUACCAGAACAGCAUUGGGUCAGCAUUUUCUGAGCGGGCUUGUAACCUGCUGUUUGGUGUAUGGUUACACAGGUAGAUAAAAGGCCUCCGCAUCUCCCCCUGCCCACGCCGCCCUCCCAAGUUUAUUUGUGUGUCAAAUAUCCAAGUCACCAGAUGAGCGUGCUCUGCAUUAACGCACCUGACUAUUACGCCCAUUGUUCUCCUGCUCAGAGUGGAGAAUUAGUCACUCAGAUGUGUAAAUAUUGGUUACAGUUUUGAAGCAUGCAAGCUUUCUGUUUCUAUCGGCCCCAUUCCUGGAGGAAUUAUGCAUGCUGUUGGCACCGGGUUUUGUACACACUGUAUUUGCUAAAGCUCUAAAAAUCAAAUAAACAUGUUCUCGGCUCCUGAA